rfam:Oryza rufipogon genomic scaffold, chr10
UUUAAGUUCAGCCAUGAGUUUCCGUGCCCAACUUUGAUCGUCCGUCUUAUUUAAAAAAAUUUACAAUUAAUAUUUUUAUUGUUAUGAGAUGAUAAAAUAUGAAUACUUUAUACGUGACUUGUGUUUUAAAAUGUUUUCAAGAUUUUUUCAAAUAAAACGGAUGAUAAAGUUGAACACGAAAAAGCAUGACUACACACUUG